ensembl:rRNA 5S_rRNA 5S ribosomal RNA
GCUUACAGCCAUACUAUCCAGGAAUAACCCGUUCUCCUCGGAUGUCGGAAGCUAUGCAGGGUUAGGCCUGGUUAGUGCUUAGGUGGGAGCCCUCUUGGGAAUACCAGGUGCUGUAAGCU